UUUUAAUUUUCUUUCUUCUCUCUUUCACACGGUUCUCUCUUUCACGUGAAAAUUAAAGAAAUCCAUCUCCAUCUCUGAAAAUCAUCAUCUCCAUCAAAGCUCAAGCUUCUCCCUCUCUGCAAAAUUCAUUCUCCCUCUCUGCGACAAAACCCUAACACAAUCGUUCUCUUUCUUUGACGAAAUCAGAAAUGUUACUACGUUGAACUCAUUCAUCCGAUUCAAGGAAGAACAACCUUGAAUGUGGAGAGUUUUAGCUGCUAUCACAAUAUCUACAAUUUUGAAGAUCAACAUCUGAUCAAGGCAACAUGACGAGUGAUUGAUAUCAUCAUUGAGUAGUAAAGGCUCAACUCACGUCAUGAAAUCAAAGAAGUUCCAGCUCUUGCACCAACUUUUGAACAAUUCUCAUGUUAUGUCUAUUGGGUUAUCAUCACCAUCGUUGCAAUUAUUACUCAGGGAACCAAUUUAUGAGAAGCCGUUCGGAACUUGAAUGGUACCACGAUUCAAACUAAUGGUGUAAAGAAGUUAAUUGAUGAUUGGUUAUUUGAAAUGAUGUUUGUAAAGUUGGCACCGUUUGCAAGUAACCAAGAUGAAUAUAGAGACCAAUUCAGUUUUGUAGACUGUUUAUAGUGUUAUGGUUUCAGAACUUGUGGUUGCUGGAAUAUAAAGAGUUUGUUUUGUUAAGAGCUGUAUUUUGAAGAUAUACUACUAGAGCUUGGUAUUGCCGAGAGCUGCAGCUACUUGUUGGUAGAGCGGUCCAUUAUUCUGAACCCUGGUCUAUGCUUUUGAAUAUUUGAGUUGCAAAUUUUGUUUUUAGAGCAACAAGAGCAUUGUGUAAUACUAUUGUAUAUGUAGAUAUGUAAUUUUUAAGUAUUUGAUCAUGUAGUUUCCAUGUUUUCGAAUAUUAUAAAAUCAUAAUAAAAUUCUAUGGA